GGCUCUGUAGCUCAGUGGAUAGAGCGUCGGUUUCCUAAACCGUGCGUCGUAGGUUCGAUUCCUACCAGGGCCA
rnacentral:tRNA from 1 species